AUGGCCACACAAGCAAUCCUGGAAGCUUUUGGGAGAAUCUCUAGACUCUACACCAACUUCAACAAGUCCUCGGCUUUCCCUAUCUGUUGUGAUGAGCUGGCAACUAAUGAAGUGCUCUCCGAGUUCGCGGGAACAACUGACUCUUUCCCUUGCAAAUAUCUCGGACUACCACUUAGCCUGCACAACUUAGGCAUGCCGACCUCCAAUUCUGAUUGACAAAAGAUAGCUGCGGAACUGGCAGGAUGGAAAGGAAAGCUCAUGAACAAAGCGGGAAGGCUAACGUUGAUCAGCUCAGUCCUCACCUCUAUCACCACCUAUCUUUUGACCUUGUUCGCUCCUAGCAAGUGGCUGACCAAGAGGAUCGACAAGCUGAGGAGAAGUUUUCUAUGA
rnacentral:rRNA from 1 species